GAUGAACGCUGGCGGCGUGCCUAAUACAUGCAAGUCGAGCGAACAGACGAGGAGCUUGCUCCUCUGACGUUAGCGGCGGACGGGUGAGUAACACGUGGAUAACCUACCUAUAAGACUGGGAUAACUUCGGGAAACCGGAGCUAAUACCGGAUAAUAUAUUGAACCGCAUGGUUCAAUAGUGAAAGACGGUUUUGCUGUCACUUAUAGAUGUAUCCGCGCCGCAUUAGAUAGUUGGUAAGGUAACGGCUUACCAAGGCAACGAUGCGUAGCCGACCUGAGAGGGUGAUGGGCCACACUGGAACGGAGACAAGGUCCAGACUCCUACGGGAGGCAGCAGUAGGGAAUCUUCCGCAAUGAGCGAAAGCGUGACGGAGCAAAGCGGCGUGAGUGAUGAAGAUCUUCGGAUCGUAAGACUCUGUUAUCAGGGAAGAACAAAUGUGUAAGUAACUAUGCGCGUCUUGACGGUACCUAAUCAGAAAGCCACGGCUAACUACGUG
rnacentral:rRNA from 1 species